rnacentral:rRNA from 1 species
GACGAACGCUGGCGGCGUGCUUAACACAUGCAAGUCGAACGGUGAAGCUCCAGCUUGCUGGAGUGGAUCAGUGGCGAACGGGUGAGUAACACGUGAGCAACCUGCCCCUGACUCUGGAAUAAGCGCUGGAAACGGCGUCUAAUACUGGAUACGAGAAGGGUCCGCAUGGGCACUUUCUGGAAAGUUUGGCGGUUGGGGAUGGGCUCGCGGCCUAUCAGCUUGUUGGUGAGGUAAUGGCUCACCAAGGCGACGACGGGUAGCCGGCCUGAGAGGGUGACCGGCCACACUGGGACUGAGACACGGCCCAGACUCCUACGGGAGGCAGCAGGGGGGAAUAUUGCACAAUGGGCGAAAGCCUGAUGCAGCGACGCCGCGUGAGGGAUGACGGCCUUCGGGUUGUAAACCUCUUUCGGCAGGGAAGAAGCGAGAGUGACGGUAACUGCAUAAGAAGCACCGGCUAACUACGUG